GUGGCGGUGCGAGGGAAAUCCGGUGAAAUACCGGUGCGGUCGCGCCACUGUAACCGGCACUUCGGCGCCGGAAGCCAGGUCACUCGACCGCCAC
rnacentral:sRNA from 15 species